CGGGAGGCAGCAGUGGGGAAUAUUGGACAAUGGGCGCAAGCCUGAUCCAGCCAUGCCGCGUGAGUGAUGAAGGCCCUAGGGUUGUAAAGCUCUUUCACCGGAGAAGAUAAUGACGGUAUCCGGAGAAGAAGCCCCGGCUAACUUCGUGCCAGCAGCCGCGGUAAUACGAAGGGGGCUAGCGUUGUUCGGAAUUACUGGGCGUAAAGCGCACGUAGGCGGAUCGAUCAGUCAGGGGUGAAAUCCCAGGGCUCAACCCUGGAACUGCCUUUGAUACUGUCGAUCUGGAGUACGGAAGAGGUGAGUGGAAUUCCGAGUGUAGAGGUGAAAUUCGUAGAUAUUCGGAGGAACACCAGUGGCGAAGGCGGCUCACUGGUCCAUACUGACGCUGA
rnacentral:rRNA from 1 species